rnacentral:rRNA from 1 species
ACUCCUACGGGAGGCAGCAGUGGGGAAUCUUAGACAAUGGGGGAAACCCUGAUCUAGCCAUGCCGCGUGAGCGAUGAAGGCCUUAGGGUUGUAAAGCUCUUUCAGCUGGGAAGAUAAUGACGGUACCAGCAGAAGAAGCCCCGGCUAACUCCGUGCCAGCAGCCGCGGUAAUACGGAGGGUGCGAGCGUUAUCCGGAUUUAUUGGGUUUAAAGGGUCCGUAGGCGGAUUAAUAAGUCAGUGGUGAAAUCCCAUCGCUUAACGAUGGAACUGCCAUUGAUACUGUUAGUCUUGAAUGAGGGUGCAGUGGUUGGAAUGUGUAGUGUAGCGGUGAAAUGCAUAGAUAUUACACAGAACACCGAUUGCGAAGGCAGAUCACUAACCCUAAAUUGACGCUGAGGACGAAAGCGUGGGGAGCGAACAGGAUUAGAUA